rnacentral:snRNA from 1 species
GUCUCGCACAUAUACUAAAAUUGGAACUAGAUGGAGAAGAUUAGCAUGGCCCCUGCACAAGGAUGACACACAAAUUAGUGAAGCAUUCCAUAUUUUU